rnacentral:rRNA from 1 species
AGCGAACGCUGGCGGCAGGCCUAACACAUGCAAGUCGAGCGGCCGUAGCAAUACGGCAGCGGCAGACGGGAUAGUAACACGUGGGAACGCGCCCUUCGGUUCGGAAUAACUCAGGGAAACUUGAGCUAAUACCGGAUACGCCCUUACGGGGAAAGAUUUAUUGCCGAAGGAACGGCCCGCGUCGGAUUAGCUAGUUGGUGAGGUAAUGGCUCACCAAGGCGACGAUCCGUAGCUGGUCUGAGAGGAUGACCAGCAUCACUGGGACUGAGACACGGCCCAGACUCCUACGGGAGGCAGCAGUGGGGAAUAUUGGACAAUGGGCGCAAGCCUGAUCCAGCCAUGCCGCGUGGAUGAUGAAGGCCCUAGGGUUGUAAAGUCCUUUUAACGGGAAGAUAAUGACGGUACCCGUAGAAUAAGCCCCGGCUAACUUCGUGCCAGC